UGAAACCAGAAGCUUCGUUCUUGUCUUCUCCUUCCUAUGCCUCACCGCAUCGUCGGUACUGGAGCAUCAGAGUCCCAUCCGUUAUUACUGGGGUAUUUGUGCAACCUUCCUCCUUCCUUCUUUGUUCUGCACCUCUAUUUUACAGAGAGUACCAUAAACCACCAAGAAAUUAAGAGAACUUCAGUCUUCCUCCACCUACUUCUUCUAUCAUAAGCGUCGCCGGCGAGGAGGUUGUGUGAGGAGCUUGAUCGUCGGAGAAGCUUGUGGUGCUGCUGUUAGAUUUUGCCGUCAGCCUCUCAUUUUCGUUCCUCAUUGCAGCUAUGUCAGAAUCCUCUCCUCCCCUAUUCAAUAUUGUGUGAUCCUUUCUCUCUCCUUGCUUUUUUUAGCUGCUGAUUGAAGGUGGCAUGUGACUUGUGCAUCAAUUGGGCAAUUGAGGUCAACACUCCUUGAGGUCAAUGGCUGAUGGUUUGCACGUGAAUUAUGAUUAUUUUGAGAGGUUAAAUCAGCUAAAAUGAUGUGGAUGACACAUGGGAAAUUAGGCACACAUUGGAAUCAUCUACAAACUAAUAGGAAGUUGCCACCUUGCAAGUGUGACAAGGCUCCCAUUUACAUUUUAAUUUCUUUUUCCUUAUUUUAAUCAAGCUUCAGCUGAUGGGAGACACCAAGGAGCACGCCAUUUUAAGCCUCAAAUGGGAUCCAACACAUAUCUCAUUCAUCUUCCACAUUCUCUCUCUCUUGUUCAUAGUGUUCUUCAUUUUCUCUCUUUUGUUCUUCAUUUUCCAGCACCCUAACCUCCAUUUUCAGCCACCAAACCUCCACAAAAAUCAUACCAUUCUUCUCCUCUCUUCAUUUUCGUUCCAUCCCUUCCAUUUUCACAAGGAUUGAAACUCAUUUUCAUCAUUCAAGAGCUAUGGAGUUUGGCCUUCACAAGCAAUCACUAGGGUUCUUGAAGAUGAAGAUUGGCUAAGUUUCUUUGUGGAAUCCUAGAGAGAUGAAGAUGGAGGAUGAGUCUUGAGCUUUAAAUUGGCUAAGUUCUUUUGUUUCCUAUCCUCUUCUCUUUUUACUAGAUGGUUAGAUUCCUUAAUCUAGGGUUUAAUCAUCUUAGCUUAUAAAUUCUAAUUUGAAUUUGAUGUUGAUGUAAAGAGAGAAGAUUGUUUCAUUUAAU